CAUGAAGUACGAACACGGGACGGGGUGCUGGCAGGGCCCCAACCGCUCCACCAUGGUGAAGCUCUCCUGCGGCACAGAGACUGCAGUGACGGCCACCACGGAGCCGAGCCGCUGCGAGUACCUGAUGGAGCUGGUGACCCCCGCCGCCUGCCACCCGCCCCCCCCCCCCACGAGGACCACGAUGAGCUCUGACCCCCCCCCCACCCCCCCCCCUCCACCCCACCCCCACCCCGGGUAUUGUGCCUCAGUUUCCCCUUUGGACCAAUCAGCCCUCCAAGUUGAGGGGAGGGGGGGGGGGGGCGGUAAUUAACGCAACGGGGGUCCACUUGCGGGCAUCCCUCCUGGUUAUGGGGGCUCAGCUUCGCACCCCCCCCCCCUCUCCCGGUCUUGUGGGCCCCCCCCCACUCCACCAUGACCCCCCAUGGGGGGGGGAGAGGGUCAUGUGAGCUGUGCAGGGAGAACAACGCUGCCGACUGAGCCGGGGGGGCCACGGGCAAUAAAGAACGGUUCCUCCCCCCCC